rnacentral:rRNA from 1 species
GAAGGUGUGCUGUGAGGCAUGCUGGAGGUAUCAGAAGUGCGAAUGCUGACAUAAGUAACGAUAAAGCGGGUGAAAAGCCCGCUCGCCGGAAGACCAAGGGUUCCUGUCCAACGUUAAUCGGGGCAGGGUGAGUCGACCCCUAAGGCGAGGCCGAAAGGCGUAGUCGAUGGGAAACAGGUUAAUAUUCCUGUACUUGGUGUUACUGCGAAGGGGGGACGGAGAAGGCUAUGUUGGCCGGGCGACGGUUGUCCCGGUUUAAGCGUGUAGGCUGGUUUUCCAGGCAAAUCCGGAAAACUAAGGCUGAGGCGUGAUGACGAGGCACUACGGUGCUGAAGCAACAAAUGCCCUGCUUCCAGGAAAAGCCUCUAAGCAUCAGGUAACAUCAAAUCGUACCCCAAACCGACACAGGUGGUCAGGUAGAGAAUACCAAGGCGCUUGAGAGAACUCGGGUGAAGGAACUAGGCAAAAUGGUGCCGUAACUUCGGGAGAAGGCACGCUGAUAUGUAGGUGAAGUCCCUCGCGGAUGGAGCUGAAAUCAGUCGAAGAUACCAGCUGGCUGCAACUGUUUAUUAAAAACACAGCACUGUGCAAACACGAAAGUGGACGUAUACGGUGUGACGCCUGCCCGGUGCCGGAAGGUUAAUUGAUGGGGUUAGCGGUAACGCGAAGCUCUUGAUCGAAGCCCCGGUAAACGGCGGCCGUAACUAUAACGGUCCUAAGGUAGCGAAAUUCCUUGUCGGGUAAGUUCCGACCUGCACGAAUGGCGUAAUGAUGGCCAGGCUGUCUCCACCCGAGACUCAGUGAAAUUGAACUCGCUGUGAAGAUGCAGUGUACCCGCGGCAAGACGGAAAGACCCCGUGAACCUUUACUAUAGCUUGACACUGAACAUUGAGCCUUGAUGUGUAGGAUAGGUGGGAGGCUUAGAAGUGUGGACGCCAGUCUGCAUGGAGCCGACCUUGAAAUACCACCCUUUAAUGUUUGAUGUUCUAACGUGGACCCGUGAUCCGGGUUGCGGACAGUGUCUGGUGGGUAGUUUGACUGGGGCGGUCUCCUCCUAAAGAGUAACGGAGGAGCACGAAGGUUGGCUAAUCCUGGUCGGACAUCAGGAGGUUAGUGCAAUGGCAUAAGCCAGCUUGACUGCGAGCGUGACGGCGCGAGCAGGUGCGAAAGCAGGUCAUAGUGAUCCGGUGGUUCUGAAUGGAAGGGCCAUCGCUCAACGGAUAAAAGGUACUCCGGGGAUAACAGGCUGAUACCGCCCAAGAGUUCAUAUCGACGGCGGUGUUUGGCACCUCGAUGUCGGCUCAUCACAUCCUGGGGCUGAAGUAGGUCCCAAGGGUAUGGCUGUUCGCCAUUUAAAGUGGUACGCGAGCUGGGUUUAGAACGUCGUGAGACAGUUCGGUCCCUAUCUGCCGUGGGCGCUGGAGAACUGAGGGGGGCUGCUCCUAGUACGAGAGGACCGGAGUGGACGCAUCACUGGUGUUCGGGUUGUCAUGCCAAUGGCACUGCCCGGUAGCUAAAUGCGGAAGAGAUAAGUGCUGAAAGCAUCUAAGCACGAAACUUGCCCCGAGAUGAGUUCUCCCUGACUCCUUGAGAGUCCUGAAGGAACGUUGAAGACGACGACGUUGAUAGGCCGGGUGUGUAAGCGCAGCGAUGCGUUGAGCUAACCGGUACUAAUGAACCGUGAGGCUUAACCUU